rnacentral:rRNA from 1 species
UACAGAGACUGCAAGCGUUAUUCGGAUUCACUGGGCGUAAAGGGUGCGCAGGCGGCCAAGUGUGUGAGGCGUGAAAGCCCGAUGCUCAACAUCGGAAUUGCUCCUCAAACUACAUGGCUAGAGCAUUGGAGAGGGUAGCGGAAUUCACGGUGUAGCAGUGAAAUGCGUAGAUAUCGUGAGGAACACCAGAGGCGAAGGCGGCUACCUGGACAAUUGCUGACGCUCAGGCACGAAAGCGUGGGGAGCAAAAGGG